AUUGAACGCUGGCGGCAUGCCUAACACAUGCAAGUCGAGCGAGCGGCGGACGGGUGAGUAAUGUCUGGGAAACUGCCUGAUGGCGGGGGAUAACUACUGGAAACGGUAGCUAAUACCGCAUACCAUCAGCUGUGCCCAGAUGGGAUUAGCUAGUUGGGGGGGUAAAGGCCUACCAGGGCGACGAUCCGUAACUGGUCUGAGAGGAUGAUCAGGCAACCUGGAACGGGAACACGGUCCAGACGCCGACGGGAGGCAGCGGUGGGAAAUAUUGGCCAAUGGGCGAAAGCCUGAUCCAGCCAUGCCGGGUGGGUGAAGAAGGUCUUCGGAUUGUAAAGCACUUUAAGUUGGGAGGCGUUACCAACAGAAUAAGCACCGGCUAACUCCGUGCCAGCAGCCGGGGUAAUA
rnacentral:rRNA from 1 species